UACGUAGGUGGCAAGCGUUGUCCCGGAUUUACUGGGCGUAAAGAGCGCGCAGGCGGUCGUUCAAGUCGCGUGUGAAAGCCCCCGGCUCAACUGGGGAGGGUCACGCGAUACUGAUCGACUCGAAAGGCAGGAGAGGGGAAGUGGAAUUCCCGGUGUAGUGGUGAAAUGCGUAGAUAUCGGGAGGAACACCAGUGGCGAAGGCGACUUCCUGGCCUGUUCUUGACGCUGAGGCGCGAAAGCUAGGGGAGCAAACGGG
rnacentral:rRNA from 1 species